GUUGGAUCAGGGGCAGUCUGUAUUGUGUGAUAUGGUAAUAGGUUGGAUCAGGGGCAGUCUGUAUUCUGUGAUAUGGUUAUUGGUUGGAUCAGGGGCAGUCUGUAUUCUGUGAUAUGGUUAUUGGUUGGAUCAGGGGCAGUCUGUAUUCUGUGAUAUGGUUAUAGGUUGGAUCGGGGCAGUCUGUAUUCUGUGAUAUGGUUAUUGGUUGGAUCAGGGGCAGUCUGUAUUCUGAGAUAUGGUUAUAGGUUGGAUCAGGGGCAGUCUGUAUUCUGUGAUAUGGUUAUAGGUUGGAUCAGGGGCAGUCUGUAUUGUGUGAUAUGGUAAUAGGUUGGAUCAGGGGCAGUCUGUAUUCUGUGAUAUGGUUAUAGGUUGGAUCAGGGAUAGUCUGUAUUCUGAGAUAUGGUUAUUGGUUGAAUCAGGGGCAGUCUGUAUUCUGAGAUAUGGUUAUAGGUUGGAUCAGGGGCAGUCUGUAUUGUGUGAUAUGGUUAUUGGUUGGAUCAGGGGCAGUCUGUAU